GGCUCGGGGUCCCGGGUGGAGGCAGGGCCUUCUCUCUGCCCGCUGUGAGCCUCUCUGCGAAAGCUGCCAGAACAAACCGUGUCCUUUCUCCAGAGGAGAAACGUGUACGCGGUUGUGGACAACGGCCGCAGCGCCCCCUUCUCUCCGACGUGGCGAUUGCGAUAUGGCUAAAGAGUGAUGGUUGAUGAUUGAGGAAAAAUGUCUGAUGUUUAAUGAUGGAUGUUGUGAACCAGUUAGCCAGAUACUCCAGUGUAUGAAGAGAAAUUGAGAUCAACGUCUUAAACUCAAAAGCUCCUCUGAAGUGGUCUGAGCAAGAGAUGGAAUAUUCUGGAAACUCUAUCAGAUUCACAGGAUGGCAGCCCUUGAUGUGAAUCAGAGGAAAUGAAACUCGAAGAGGCAAGGAUGGUGGCUGGGUUACUGAUGGAUUCUUCUCAGAGAUGUGAUGUUGGAGAACUACCAGAAUCUCAUCACACUAGGUAAGCAUCGUUUCUUCACUGAACCCCUUAUGAAAAAAAUGUUUCUUAAGU